CCUACGGGGGGCAGCAGUGGGGAAUAUUGGACAAUGGGGGGAACCCUGAUCCAGCCAUGCCGCGUGUGUGAAGAAGGCCCUCGGGUUGUAAAGCACUUUCAGUGAGGAAGAACGCCUGGUGGUUAAUACCCAUCAGGAAAGACAUCACUCACAGAAGAAGCACCGGCUAACUCCGUGCCAGCAGCCGCGGUAAUACGGAGGGUGCGAGCGUUAAUCGGAAUUACUGGGCGUAAAGCGCGCGUAGGUGGUUUGAUAAGCCGGUUGUGAAAGCCCCGGGCUCAACCUGGGAACGGCAUCCGGAACUGUCAAGCUAGAGUGCAGGAGAGGAAGGUAGAAUUCCCGGUGUAGCGGUGAAAUGCGUAGAGAUCGGGAGGAAUACCAGUGGCGAAGGCGGCCUUCUGGACUGACACUGACACUGAGGUGCGAAAGCGUGGGUAGCAAACAGGAUUAGAUACCCCUGUAGUC
rnacentral:rRNA from 1 species